CCCCGCACAAGCAGCGGAGCGUGUGGUUUAAUUCGAUGUUACACGAAGAAUCUUACCAGGGUUUGACAUGCAAGUGGUAGGAAACCGAAAGGUGACCGACCCUUCGGGGAGCUUGCACAGGUGCUGCAUGGCUGUCGUCAGCUCGUGUCGUGAGAUGUUCGGUUAAGUCCGCUAACGAGCGCAACCCUCGCUGUGUGUUAUAUGUGUCACACGGGACUGCCGGUCUUAAGCCGGAGGAAGGUGGGGAUGAUGUCAAGUCAGCAUGGCCUUUAUAGGUGGGGCUACACACGUCAUACAAUGGCCGGUACAGAGGGUAGCCAACCCGCGAGGGGGAGCCAAUCCCACAAAGCCGGUCGUAGUCCGGAUCGCAGUCUGCAACUCGACUGCGUGAAGUCGGAAUCGCUAGUAAUCGCGGAUCAGCAUGUCGCGGUGAAUACGUUCCCGGGUCUU
rnacentral:rRNA from 1 species